CAGCGACAUUUACAAACUCACCUCCGCACUGGGAUAUGUGUUAGAAACGGCGUCCUUCUGGAAAAUGUCUUUCUUUCAUAUUUGGCAACUUCAGCUGACACUACUCGAAAGAAGAGGCACGCGGGACCUGCGUAAAGGCAUUAAUUCAUGAAGAGGGAAGAGUCGGCCUGGCCUUCUACCCGCCACCAGCACCAUCAUCAUCAUCAUCAUCAUCCCUUUGAAGCUGCUUCACAGUGCAUUAUUACUUUUGGUACGCGCUAGGCCUGCCUCAAACUCGUACCGUGAGUAAUAAUGCACCGUGGCGGCCACUACCAGCUGCCCGCAACCUCGCCCAGGAAGGGGCAUACGGGACUGGACCUACGAGGAUUUCAAUGCAUGCAGCGGACUGAGCUUUACAGCAUGUUAUAGGCCGCAACAUUUAAACUGCACAUUUAUGGAACCGUUUGCAUUGUUCAUUAAACAUUCACUGCUCUAUGAUGUGCUGUGGUGGAGUUGGGUUGGGUUGGUGGUGAUGCGUUUUUGUUAACCUCUGUUGGGUCUUAGCAGCUGUUAAUGUACGGUAGUAUAGUGAACCCUUUUGAAAGCUGUUAGUGUAUGGUGAUAGUGAACCCUUUUGAAAGCGCGGUAAAAUAUAACACUGAAUCACAGGUCCCAAAAGCUCCUGAACUGAAAAUAGCCUCCUGAUUGGAACAGAGCAUUACUAACCUUUAUUUAUUUAUUUAUUGCAGAUUAAGGGGCGAAAGUCUUUCAAGUAUGUUUUAAUAUGGUCCCCUGUUAAUUUGAUCUCCCUCUCUUCCCAAGUAAUUUAUUUUAUUCAAGCUUCAGAGCCCUGCUGUCUAGAUUGCAAUCUUCUCCGCACAGCUGUAAAUUGCUGUCUUAAUAUCCAGCAGGAUUCCAUUUGGGCUGCUGAUUGGCUUCUCUAAAGGUCCUGAUAUGUCAUUGGGAAAGACUGUCCUGUUUCAUUAGCCUUCCUGUGGGCUAUGAGGAGAUUUAAAUAUUGAUUUUUACUUUUCAUAUGACAAACAACCACACAUGAUGAAAAAAUGUAGGCCUAACCUGAUGAAAGAAUGUAAUAAAAACAUUGCAUGGAUAAGAGCAUAAA